UUAGAUGGUUAUGACAAGCUAAAGCCCUUUGGUAUAUGUAUACAUGGAUGUGUAGAUGGAUUCUCAAGAAAAAUUAUAUGGCUUUGUGCUAGUAUCACUAAUAAAAGACCAGAAGUUGUAGCUGAUUUUUUCCUGAAAGCUGUGGAUAACAUUAAAGCUUUUCCAAGCAAAAUCAGAUGUGACCCUGGUACUGAAAACGGGUUGACAGCAGCCAUCCAACUCACUCACACUUCUGAUAAGAAGUCUGUGAUUUAUGGCUCCUC